rnacentral:sRNA from 1 species
UCUUAGAAAGUUAAUACCACUCCACAAUUGCAAACCUUCAAUAGGUAAUGGGCCUGUCAGUAAAGAACUUAACUGGCGAAUUAAAUUUUAAAAUUCCUACCUCAAAUACUCGCUUCGCUCGAAAUAUCAAAGGUGAUGCGAAUCGUAACGUCACUAUGAAUGGUGAGCGCUAUCGUGAGAUGGUAUCCAACUUUUCAUUGACCAAAAUGCAAGAAGUUGACUUGCAUGACAUGUGGUUUCAACAAGACGGCGCUCCAUGCCAAACAGCACGCAUAACAACGGACUUAUUGAAAGACUAUUUUUUGUGGGUCUAUGUUAAAGCUCCUGUCUGUACAGACAAGCUCCCAUCAAUCGACGCAAUGGAAGAUAACAUUGAAGAAUUUAUUGUUCAGAUACUGGCGGAAAUGAUGGAAAGAGUAUGCCAUAAUUGGACUAAGCGGAUGGAAUAUUUGGCGCGCAGUUACAGUCAACUUUGCCAUAAAAUGUUUUUUUUUGUUCUUUUUUAACUUUACUCAAUCUCUUAAAAAACAUCCUUUAUAAUAGUAUAUCCUUCACCGAAUUUAUUCAUGUAAUAAAGAACUCAAUCCUU